UCUCACAGAUCAAGUGAAACAGAAUAUGUGUGAGAAAUUCUCAUGCAUAUUCUGUUUCACUUGGUCUCCGAGAA